rfam:Ixodes scapularis strain Wikel colony gcontig_1108378650356, whole genome shotgun sequence.
GUUAGCUCAGUUGGUAGAGCGCUCCACUUGUAAUGGAGAGGUCCCGGGUUCGAUACCCGGACCAGGCG